rnacentral:rRNA from 1 species
AGUGAACGCUGGCGGUAGGCCUAACACAUGCAAGUCGAACGGCAGCACAGUAAGAGCUUGCUCUUACGGGUGGCGAGUGGCGGACGGGUGAGGAAUACAUCGGAAUCUACUUUUUCGUGGGGGAUAACGUAGGGAAACUUACGCUAAUACCGCAUACGACCUACGGGUGAAAGCAGGGGAUCUUCGGACCUUGCGCGAUUGAAUGAGUCGAUGUCGGAUUAGCUAGUUGGCGGGGUAAAGGCCCACCAAGGCGACGAUCCGUAGCUGGUCUGAGAGGAUGAUCAGCCACACUGGAACUGAGACACGGUCCAGACUCCUACGGGAGGCAGCAGUGGGGAAUAUUGGACAAUGGGCGCAAGCCUGAUCCAGCCAUACCGAGUGGGUGAAGAAGGCCUUCGGGUUGUAAAGCCCUUUUGUUGGGAAAGAAAAGCAGCAGGUUAAUACCCCGCUGUUCUGACGGUACCCAAAGAAUAAGCACCGGCUAACUUCGUG